rnacentral:rRNA from 1 species
UUGACCUCGAAUCAGGUAGGAAUACCCGCUGAACUUAAGCAUAUCAAUAAGCGGAGGANNNNNNNNNNNNNNNNNNNNNNNNNGUAACGGCGAGUGAAGCGGUAACAGCUCAAAUUUGAAAUCUGGCUCCUUCGGAGUCCGAGUUGUAAUUUGUAGAAGAUGCUUUGGGUGAUGGGUGCGGCCUAAGUUCCUUGGAACAGGACGUCAUAGAGGGUGAGAAUCCCGUAUGUGGCCGCGGCCCAGGCCCGUGUAAAGCUCUUUCGACGAGUCGAGUUGUUUGGGAAUGCAGCUCAAAAUGGGUGGUAAAUUUCAUCUAAAGCUAAAUAUGGGCCAGAGACCGAUAGCGCACAAGUAGAGUGAUCGAAAGAUGAAAAGCACUUUGGAAAGAGAGUUAAACAGUACGUGAAAUUGUUGAAAGGGAAGCGCUUGCAACCAGACUUGGGCGCUGCCGAUCACCUCGAGUUCUCUCGAGUGCACUCGACAGCGCACAGGCCAGCAUCGGUUCGGGUGGCUGGAUAAAGGCCGUAGGAACGUAGCUGCCUUCGGGGAGUGUUAUAGCCUACGGUGCCAUGCAGCCCAGCCGGACCGAGGACCGCGCCUUCGGGCUAGGAUGCUGGCGUAAUGGUUGUAAGCGACCCGUCUUGAAACACGGACCAAGGAGUCUAACAUCUAUGCGAGUGUUUGGGCGUUAAACCCAUACGCGGAAUGAAAGUGAACGUAGGUGAGAACCCCCGGUGGGGCGCAU